rnacentral:lncRNA from 1 species
CAGCCUGGCUGUUUAUAUAAUGAAAAGUGAAACUGUGACGUGGCCCUUCUUCUUUCCUCUCAGUCAGAACCUAUGAUUAGGGUCAAAAUUACACUUUUUCUUUUGCUUGUCACACUGGGUGAAUUAUUCUGAGUGGCAGGAACAACUAUCUCUCAUACUGUCCUUGCAUUGGUUUUGUUUGUACCGUAAAACAUUGCCAGGUUAUGGAAAUUCAGCUCUGACUAGAAAAUAGAGGACUUUGUUGAAGUACCAAAGGUUCAUUGAUAAACUGAGACCCUGCGUUGUAAAGAGACAUGGAGGCUGUUUUAGGACUGUUGGUGAUCUCAGCUGGAGUGUCUCAUGGCUCGGAGACUUCCUGUGAUGCUAGACAGAAUGGAUGUCAGUGUUAUGGAGCUCUGGGAGGAACUGUCUAUCUCCAGCUGGUGACUGAUGCCACGAGAUAUGAUGAUCUCUUAUUUUAUAAAGACCCAACUGGUGCUAAAACAGAGAUACUCAGAUCGAAGAAGGACAAAUGGAUAACAAAAGACAGCCCCAUUAAAGACAGAGUACACUUCUUUAUAAACAAUGGGACAUUUAGAUUAAAUAACACAAGAAGUACAGAUUCUGGUGAAUAUCUGCUAGAAACAUUUAAUUCAGCAGGGAAAUCAUCAGGGAUCAGAGGACUACAACUGUUCAUCGAAGCUCCAGUGUCCAGUCCUCAGCUGUCCUCUGAGUGUCUGUCCCAUGGAGAGAUGAAGGUGUCCUGUUCCUCUGAGGGGGAUGGUCCCCAGUACAGCUGGACUCUGGAUGGACAGACACUGAACGACACUGAGACAAACACCAUCACUCUGAAGAAAGGCCUGUCAGGAAAUCUCACCUGUACCAUCAGAAACGUAAUUCAGAUACACAUGUGA